rnacentral:rRNA from 1 species
UUUGGUGAUCAUAGGCGAAGUGCCCCACCCGUUCCCAUCCCGAACACGGCCGUGAAACCUUCAGCCGCCGAUGGUAGUGAGACGCAAUGUCUUGUGAGAGUAGGUUAUUGCCAGAU